rnacentral:rRNA from 1 species
CCAUUCCGCGUGCAGGAUGAAGGCCCUCGGGUUGUAAACUGCUUUUGUACGGAACGAAAAAGCUCCGGCUAAUACCUGGAGUUCAUGACGGUACCGUAAGAAUAAGCACCGGCUAACUACGUGCCAGCAGCCGCGGUAAUACGUAGGGUGCAAGCGUUAAUCGGAAUUACUGGGCGUAAAGCGUGCGCAGGCGGUUUUGUAAGACAGAGGUGAAAUCCCCGGGCUCAACCUGGGAACUGCCUUUGUGACUGCAAGGCUGGAGUGCGGCAGAGGGGGAUGGAAUUCCGCGUGUAGCAGUGAAAUGCGUAGAUAUGCGGAGGAACACCGAUGGCGAAGGCAAUCCCCUGGGCCUGCACUGACGCUCAUGCACGAAAGCGUGGGGAGCAAACAGGAUUAGAUACCCUGGUAGUCCACGCCCUAAACGAUGUCAACUGGUUGUUGGGAAUUCAUUUUCUCAGUAACGAAGCUAACGCGUGAAGUUGACCGCCUGGGGAGUACGGCCGCAAGGCUAAAACUCAAAGGAAUUGACGGGGAC